GGAGGCUCCGCCCCCUCCAGCCCCCCCACCCCCCAGCUCUGGGGGCGGCGGGGGGAACGGGUCCGGAUCCGGCGGGAAUGGAGGCGGUCGGGAGUCAGCGGGGUUGGAUGAGAUUCACAGACUGUUCUGAGCUGGAAGGAGUCCAGAAGGAUCCUCAAGUUGAGCUCCUAAGUAAAUGUCCCGUACGGGGAUUGCACCCACCACCUUGGUGUUACCAGCACCACGUUCCAACCAACUGCAACUACAGCAGAUUAAGAAAUGUAACUACAAAUACCCAUGUGUUCUGUCAAUGAACCUGCACAUCACUGUGAGGGCAUCACUACAUCCCAGCUCUAUGCUGCUCUGCCUGAGGAUUUUGAAGCCCAAAUUGCCUGUUCUGGUGGAGAUACAUUGGUGCAAGCUCUGCCAUUUCACAAGUAGGAUCGAAAGAUCAGGAUGCACCUGGCUCAAAUGUGUGGAACUGAUAUGGCGUGUCCGAUUUCAGGCUGCCCUAAAAUGGACCAAGGUAAAAAUGAGUUAUAUAGCAUUGGAGAUGAAAAGAAUGAAAACAAAGAAAAUCUUGCAAAUAAUUACUGUCGUGUUUCCUGUGUAUGAGAUGCCGUAAAAUAAGAGUCCUUGCGGUUGUUACAUGAGCCCAAGCAUAAUCCUCAUGCCUCAUCCUCAUUUCAUCCUGUGAAAUAAACACCUUGUUUGGAGAAGUAGCAGCUUAUUUUCAACUUGAGGAACCCUGCAAUGCUGACUUCUCUUCCAUAUUCCAAGAGAAAGGAUAGAUAAACCCAGUCUGUGCCUCUUAGUGUCUGUCAAGUUUCUGGUGUUAGAACCCAGACAUUUGCUGGGGAAAUUAAAAGCAUCUAAGGCUCAACCAAGGUGUAAAUAUCAUAAGGAAAUCAGUUGAAAGCUGGAUCUAAAGGCUCAACUCACCUUGUGCCUUAAAGCUGGGAUCUGAGAGAAAGCAGCACUUCUGAAUGUGUGGAACGUAGCACUAGAGCUGAAAGAUGCUGAGAAAAUCCAUUUAAACGGUCAUGAUGUGGAUCAUGGCUUUAAAUGUGUUUAUUGUCACAUGACUGAGUAGAUCUUGAUGGAAAAUCAUUGAAAAUCAUGCAUGUGGAUAAAAGAAACCUACCAGUGCUUCAUCUGUGAAAGUGCUUUUGUACCACUUGAUAAAGUGCCUGGAAAGCUCACAGAAACAGCCGUCAGAGGAAACCUCAUCUCAGUGCGCAUCAUCCGAAACUGAGCAGAUAAGCAAUCUUCAUGUAGCUUGCUUGGCAUUAUCAGGAUAUGGUUGUGUGCCCACACAGUGAUUUUACCAGUAAGUCAGGUUUUAUUUUUCACUCUCAUCCAGUUGCCUCCUCAGCUUAAACUUAUUGCUGCAAAUAACUUUGUUUGGUCAAUGCAAAAUUUAUUGGAGCAUUUCAGUAUGAACUGUAAAUGCUAUCAUCAGAAGCUGCUGUAAAAUAUCUUCAUGACGGUUUGAGCAAUGAAAAUGUAAGAACUGUAAAAAUUCUAAAAAUUUGUUGUAAAUGUUCACAUUUUGAUGAUGUUCAUUCGCAAAAUCCUGUCUCAUUUAAUAUUUUGGAUUCUGGAUCCUAAUUUCUAGGAGUAGUCGACCAUCAUAUUCCAACAAUUUCAAUAUUAGUGCCUUUUUAAUGACUCUUAACAUCACUGUGAAGGUACUUCUAUCAAGGAGCUUUUCCCCAGCUGACACAUGGACUCCUUUAUUUGCAUGUCCGCCAUGUUCCUCCUCCUCUGGAUCCUGGCCGCCAUGUGGAGAAGCAGCGGGGCUCGAUGACAACCCAACAAAGAGGGAACAGAACAGGGGGGCCUGUGACAUACAGACUCCUUAGAGUUACUGGCUCCAGCUCUGUCUCACAACAUCCUUACGUGUGUUGGUGGUGUCUUGACUGAACCAUGCUGGUGCACACUGAACUGGGGAGUCGGGUUAAAAAACCCCCAAACAACACAGCAAACGAACAAACAGAAGCCAACUCAAACAAAUGACUUCAUGAGAAGCUCUGUUUUGUGUGUGUUUCACAAACACAGCACAGAUGAGGAGCAAGGUUUAUUUUCUCAACAACUUUGUCUUUCAUCACCUGAAAGUUUUAUAUCUCAGAUUUUUAAGUUGUUUCAUCACUGAUGGUAUUAUAAAAUAUUGGUAUAGUGUACUUGGGGUUUCUUUUUGAAUUAGUUUACUUAAUGUAUUUUUUAAAUGGCAAUGCAGAGAAGAGUUGAAGGAGCAAAUGGAAAAUUACAGAACUGCUGCUGCACUUUUGUCUUCUUUAUGGGAUCAAGUAUUCAAAACCAGACAUCAGUUGAGAAGACAACACAAACAAAUCCAUCAUGAAGAAACAACAAACCCACAAAUGAAAGAGAGGAAGAGAAGAAAGAAGCCUGAAGAUAAUCUUGUGUGUUUCAACACAAAAGCUACUUGAAAGAAGGAUUCAAGCUAAUUUAAAUGCAGUACUUACAGUAGAUUCCACUUGAGGCCUGAAGGAGUAGCAGGUCAUGCAGCAGAGACAAAAAACUUCCAGAAGGCUUUGGUGGACCAUUCAAACAGCAAAAUAGAACAGCCCAGUAUGAUCAUGUUGCAUUAUACAGUAUUGGCUGCUAGGAAAUUAAUUCAACACAAAAAACUAUGCCAUUUUGGGAAUAUAAAUAAAUAAUUGAAAGAUAAUAAACUAGUAACUGAAGUAUUUCAUUGUAAACAGGUCUGAUAGAAAUCUUUGUGCUCUUAUCUUUCCCAUAGUGGUAUCAGUCUUUCCUAAUAGCCUUAAAUACUCAUGAUAAAAGGCAUUAAAAGCCUAAAUUAACACUGUAACUGAGAAAGGUAAUCCCUUCAGACCACUUACACAGGAAGAAUAGAUGAUGAUUUUCCAGCUGUGACAAGGUUCAUUUCCUUUCUGACAGGAAACAUUCUUAUAGUUAGCUCUGCAGGAGCACAUGGGAACGCAUGCUGGCAUCAAAGCCCUUCAUUGCCAGCACUGGGAGUGGGGAACAAGGUCUCUCUGAGCCAGCAGAUGCAAACACAUGCAGGUGGAUUGCGUGGAUGUCCUCUUCAUGUUGCCACUUAUGUAAAUUACUCAGGGAGGAAAAACAAAGUACUCUGCAGUUGAGUAUUGAGUGCCGUGUAGGAGUGAUUAUUUUGUGGCAUGAAAAGGAUUUCUAAAGAAAAGGGGUAUUUUUUCCCUGCUGGUAUUUUUCUCUCAUGUUGAAUAUGCAAAAACCAAACACUGUGAUCCUGAUUUAAUAAACUGGGUGAAUUUUUAACUGGUGGAUUUUUUUAUAGCAAUUAGGGAUAUUGAUCUUUAAGGAUAUGUUAGAUUCUGGUAUAGAAUUUGUGUUCAGAAGACACCUAUGUAAAGAUAUAAAUACUGCAGAGAGAAGGACUGCUUAUAUUCCUGGCUUGUUAACUGAAAAGGGUGUCUGCUAGUUCAGCGGGAGGUGGACUUUAACCACGUCUUUUUUUUCUCUUCUGGUACUCCACGGCCUGAUUAAAAACAGGAAUGUCUUCUCAAAACUUCUAAAAUCAACACGUACAUAUAGGCAUAUUGCACGAUUUUCAACAUCAUAAAGUUGGGUUUCCCCUUUGACUACAUUCCCGUCCAUUUUCUGGAAAGCUCCCUGCUUCAACUUAUUCUUUUGAACUUCAUUGAACCUCUGUCAAAGGCCCAGGCUCUGGUGUUCUUUCUGACUCACCCAAGUGAUUUGUUUAAAUAGACUUUGCAUUGCCAUGGUUAUAGUAAACCCAUCAUUCAUUACAAAUUCUGAAUUAAACAGAAGGAAGCACUUUGUAGCACUCUCUGCUUGGAACUGUUGGAUCCACUCCAUCUUGUUGGUAUUUACAGAGUGAAGCCUUCCUUCUUUCUUCUGAAUUGAGCAUUUUACAGGAUUAGAAAAUAAGGUUAAGUGAAUGCACAGGAUGGAAACAGGCUAUGUUGUCUUAAAGCCUUCCUGAAACCUGCUUGGUGUGUGCAGUGAGUGGGUGGACAGGACAGUGGAAGCCAAUUCAAUUCUUGUGAUAACACUUAAAUAAAAUGGUUUGUGGAGAACUUGUCCUGAUAGGACCUAGGAGCAUAGUGGAUAGGGAAUAUCCACUUUUGUCCACAGUGUAAAAUUAACUUUCCACUGAGCUGAAGAACCGAAAUACUCUUGCAGUCACUUGGCAGGAGCGCAGCGCUCCGACUCUUGAGUGCUGUGGGUGGUGCUGCAUCCCGCAGCGUUGGAACCGUGGCAUCACACACAGUGGCACAGGAGAGUAGGCAUAUGUCUGGCAGGAAACCCAGGUGUGAAGGGAGCUGAUAGACAUCUCUUGCUACUGGGACAGAUGGCUCUCAGUCUCUGUGGUAGCAAGUGUGCCAUGUCUUCAGAGACAGACUUUUGCUCUAUUUAAUAUUCUUAGCUUAUGUGGAAGCUAACUGACGGGACUUCAAAAGUUACAGGAGAAGGAGAGUGACGGGCAAAACAACUUCUGCUGGGAGGCUGAAUGGGCAGUGUGGCCAGGCACUAUUAAUGGUGUUUAGGUGCCUAGGUAAACAAGUGUCCAAACCCCUGCAAAAUAUAUUCAACUCUUGGGAAAAACAUUAAGACAGUCACUGUCUAGGAGAACGAUUGCAAAUCUAGAACUGUUUCCUAUUUCUUUUUGAGCUGCUAGGUGACCCACAGCAAACAUGUGUAACUAGUUUUAGGAAACAACUUAUUACCCAUCAAAAUACAAAUUACUACCUUGACAGCUGCUCGUGAAUGUGAUGUCAGCCUCUUCCUGUUCAUUUCCCCAUUGACAGCUAGAGGUAAACCUAAAGAAUGCUGGCUAUGCAGUGGUCAUGCAAUGCAUUCAUCCUUGAAAGAUAACAGUAGUAGAACUGGUACAGGAGAGAUACUUGUAAUAGUGCUAGAGUGAAACGCUGUCUUGAGGAGAAUUGUUACUAUACCAGGGUUGGUGUUAGGCUUAGAUCCUUAAAAUAUGCUCACUUUUCAUUAUUUUUUAUAAACUCAAAUGUUUUCAUUGGUAUGUUUUUAUUUUUGGAUGUAAGCAGAAAUGAAAAUAAGUUUGUUUAUGUGGGGCUUGUCCUUUCUUCAGCCCUGACCAUUCUGUGAUUCUGUUUCAUUUUUUCAAUCUGUUCCUUCUUCCUGAUUAGGUUCGUUUCAGGUUCUCCAUUGUAAGACUAAUAUUUUAGAAUUUUCGUGCAAGUAUGAAAUUAAACAUUGUAAAUUAGAUUUUGUUAGUGGGAAUGUAAAUGUAAAGGGGUGGCCUGUCCUUUAAGAACAUACCUCUCAAUGUUUUUGUUUUUGAAAGUCAUUCUUUUCCUUUGUAUUUGUGACCUAAAUGUUCUCCUUGAUGUCUUUACAGAAAAUUCUUUGGGUGCUUUCUUCAUAAAGUGAAAAUGGUUUUACCUUAAUGUGAUUUCCUAUUGCUUUUUGAAAAUUUCCUGUUCUGCUACAUUUCCACUUUCUGGAAUUUGCUUGGUUUAAAUAGGUGACAUAGAAUACACUUGAGUUUGUCCCUCUGAACUUUGAUUCAGAAAAAAAGAUCAAAACUAAAUUUGGAAAUUAUUCUGGCCAGUCUGUCUUAGUUAGACUUAUGGUUGAAGCCAAAUCUAGAUACCAAUAGCUGUAGAUCUGCUACUGGUAAAACAGACUGCAACCCUUGAUUGCCCAGAACAGUGUCUAAGAUCGUGUUUCGUUAGCAACAGGUUCACAUGAAAGAUGAGCUGUAGCUUGGAGGAUGUGCUGAAAAUGCUGAUCCCCAGAUACUCUUCUGAAUUUCCCACACACACUUGAUGUUUGCCUGGAAGUUACAAUAUCCUUCUUAUUUGCUUUUCAUUUCUUGAUAGGCGAGAAGUUUUUCAAAUGUGAGCUCUGCUCUUGUGCCACUCUGCUGGCACUUGCAAACGCAUGCAGAUGAGAGGCCCUACAAAUGUUGGCUCUGCUCAAAGAGUUGGUAAGCAUAAAUAAUCUCUGUCAGACAAAUUCUGUAAAUCUGAUGGCUUUUAGAAAACAACAGAAUCCCACACUUUGAGGUGGGUGCACUCCUACCUAAGUCAAGCAUAUAUUGGCUCUGUGAAGGCUUUUUUGCUUGAGGGAGUUGCUUUCUGGCUAUUAUUGACAGCUUUCUCUAUACUUAACUACCACAUAGACCCUGCUGGAACAUGUAUGGAACACUAAUGGGAUAAAUAAAUAUCCAGUAGGUGACAGUAUCAGAGCAUGUGUGUGUGAAGGGGUAUUGGGACAAGUGGUAGUAACUUAUGUAAAAAAACAAAAACGUGUUCAUUCACUAAUUCUAUGUCUUAAUUUGGUGGUUUAGGUUCACCAUGCAGCUUUUUCACUGAUUUGUCCGCAGCUUUGCUUGUUGUGUUUUGGUUCCACUGCCCCACCCCCCCCUCACGGGUUGAGGAAAUGAUCGCAUUCUUGAUAGUGCUAAACACAUCUCAUUUUGCAGUGUUGGCAGGGCGUGUCAUGUGAUGAGUGGAAGCAUUUGUUGGUCUUAAUAAAGCCGAAAUACAUGUUCCAAGUAUGUACUUAGCAGCCUUAGCAGAUGUUUAAAUGUUAAAUUCAUGUGUGUUUAAACUCUUUACACUAACUAAAGUACUCUUUGCUUCUGUUUUUUUCUUCCUAAAGCUGAAAGAUUUAAACUAAGAUAAGUGAAUGUCCACGAGUUCACUUCUUGAGGUAUGCAGGAGUUGGUGGAGAGGUUUGAUUAACUUGGAUUUGUUACUUACGUAACGAAAAUAAAAAGAUUAAUCUAUUCUGGUUCUUUAGCUGUCAUAAUAAUGGUAGUUCUGAUGACAAAACUAAUGCUCUGUUUGAAGAGUCUUUUGAUGCCUGAACUUAAAUCUGGAAAUGCAUUUUUCAAAAGUGAUAAAAUAACCUUGAGCUUAAAGUAAGUUCCUUCUUCACCGAGAGCUUUUCAAUAUCUGGUAAUGGAAUAACAGACUAAAACACUUUUCCCUAGCUUUUGUGGCAGGCAUGCAAAAAUGCAGAAUUGUAAACAUUAUCCAAAUUUUUUAACAAAAAAUGAAGGAAAUUUGUGUAAUGGAAUGAUGACUUACUGACCUUGUUACAACAAUUUCCUUAGUAAUUGGAUACAACUUAAUGACAGGGAGCCUUAUUCUUUAAGUCCUGUGCUACUAAGAAUCCUAUUAAAAGUAAAUCAUUCUGUAAUAUCUGUCAUGAUAUUUUGUCUCUUUUUGCACUAUUACUUUAGAAGCAUAUACUUUUUUAAUUACGUGUAAUAAAUCAGUCUUACAGGGACCAACUAUUUUGCUGCUUGCAAAUUAUCAAUGUGCCUCCUUCCACCAGCCUGCUUUGCCCUGUUAGAUGCAUAUUAAAUUGUGAUAACAUAAACACUUGUAUGCUCCACUUUUGCUGUAAAACUUGUUCCAUUGGGAAUUAAUAGAAUUUUUCUUUAAUAAGUCAAAAACUUAUAAUGACAAUCUAUGAGAUCAGGAAAUGAAUAAUUUAACUAGUGUUCAUUAGGGUAAACAAUAACAUUGUCUGAAAGUAGUCUUUUGUUGUAUGUGAAAUCUGUACUUAAAAAAUAUUUGGUAACUAUCUGCAUAAUGUUCCUGACCUAAAUAGUUAGGAUGUUUGAAAUUGCCACUUGUGAAAGAGUUUGCCUGAGUUGAGUAAAUACAGUUAAGGCUGGGGUUUUGUUGUGUUGGGUUGUUUAUUUUUUUCUUAAGUAGAUUUUUUCAGGUCUGUGUUGGUGUUAAGAUGUUUAAGCAAAACAGAAUGUUACGCCCUCUACUUCUGAAAUUGUAUCAAAAAUACAAUGAAAUUUAAGAAUACUAAAGAAAAAAAAAAAAAAAAAGAAAGGAAAAAAAAAAAAGAGAGAGAGAAAAAUCUAGACAAACCCAACCCAGUCCCCAAACAUACACUUUGCUCCCACACAGAACCUAUUGACUGUUUCAGUGGGCUGUGUUCAAAAGUGAGGUGUAAAGAGCAGAAAUAACACCCAGAUCUGAGUGUAAACAAGACUAUGGAUGGCAUAACUGCAUGUGGAUGGCAUAACUGCAGUGAUGAAAUAUGCUGA